GCUCGAGAAGCUUAAUUGGUUGAGCAGAGUAUUGAAGCUACUAAGGUUAUAAGUUCAAAUCUUAUCUCGGGCA
rnacentral:tRNA from 6 species